UAUAGAGGAUGAUGAUACAUAUAAAUCACAGUUAUCCCUGUCUGAUUUUUUGAAUUUGAUGAAUUCUUUGUGAUCUGACUCAAAU